GCCAGUAGUCAUAUGCUUGUCUCAAAGAUUAAGCCAUGCAUGUCUAAGUAUAAAUAACUACACAGUAAAACUGCGAAUGGCUCAUUAAAACAGUUAUAGUUUAUUUGAUACAUUAAAUGGAUAACUGUAGGAAACUAGAGCUAAUACAUGCCAAAGUCGUAAGGCUGCAUUUAUUAGAUAUACCAAGACGGUGAAUCAUGAUAACUUAGCAAAUCGAAACCACGUUUCGAUAAAUCAUUCAAGUUUCUGACCUAUCAUGCUCUCGAUGGUAGUGUAUUGGACUACCAUGGCAGUCACGGGUAACGGAGAAUUAGGGUUCGAUUCCGGAGAAGGAGCCUGAGAAACGGCUACUACAUCUACGGAAGGCAGCAGGCGCGUAAAUUACCCAAUCCUAAAUCGGGGAGGUAGUGACAAGAUAUAACAACGACGACUAAAAAUCGCGAUUGUAGUGAGGGUAUUCUAAACAUAGCUUCGAGUACGAUUGGAGGG
rnacentral:rRNA from 1 species